CCCGCACGAGCGGUGGAGCAUGUGGUUUAAUUCGAUGAUACGCGAGGAACCUUACCUGGGCUCAAAUGUAUGUUGACGUAUUCUGAAAGGGAUACUUCUUCGGACAAUAUACAAGGUGCUGCAUGGUUGUCGUCAGCUCGUGCCGUGAGGUGUCGGGUUAAGUCCCAUAACGAGCGCAACCCCUAUCAUUAGUUGCCAUCAGGUCAAGCUGGGGACUCUAAUGAAACUGCCUACGCAAGUAGUGAGGAAGGUGGGGAUGACGUCAAAUCAGCACGGCCCUUACGUCCAGGGCUACACACGUGCUACAAUGGCCGGUACAAAGGGCAGCUACCUGGUGACAGGAUGCUAAUCUCAAAAGCCGGUCUCAGUUCGGAUCGGAGUCUGCAACCCGACUCCGUGAAGCUGGAGUCGCUAGUAAUCGCGCAUCAGCCAUGGCGCGGUGAAUACGUUCCCGGGCCUU
rnacentral:rRNA from 1 species